CGCCGCCGCGGUAACACCGGCGGCCCGAGUGGUGAUCGUGAUUAUUGGGUCUAAAGGGUCCGUAGCCGGUUUGGUCAGUCCUCCGGGAAAUCUGAUAGCUCAACUAUUAGGCUUUCGGGGGAUACUGCCAGACUUGGAACCGGGAGAGGUAAGAGGUACUACAGGGGUAGGAGUGAAAUCUUGUAAUCCCUGUGGGACCACCUGUGGCGAAGGCGUCUUACCAGAACGGGUUCGACGGUGAGGGACGAAAGCUGGGGGCACGAACCGGAUUAGAUACCCGGGUAGUCCCAGCCGUAAACGAUGCUCGCUAGGUGUCAGGCAUGGCGCGACCGUGUCUGGUGCCGCAGGGAAGCCGUGAAGCGAGCCACCUGGGAAGUACGGCCGCAAGGCUGAAACUUAAAGGAAUUGGCGGGGGAGCACAACAACGGGUGGAGCCUGCGGUUUAAUUGGACUCAACGCCGGACAACUCACCGGGGGCGACAGCAAUAUGUAGGCCAAGCUGAAGACUUUGCCUGAAUCGCUGAGAGAAGUGGUGCAUGG
rnacentral:rRNA from 1 species